rnacentral:rRNA from 1 species
UACGAAGGGUGCAAGCGUUAAUCGGAAUUACUGGGCGUAAAGCGCGCGUAGGUGGUUCGUCAAGUUGGAAGUGAAAGCCCUGGGCUUAACCUAGGAAUUGCUUUCAAAACUGGCGGGCUAGAGUACGGUAGAGGGUAGUGGAAUUUCCUGUGUAGCGGUGAAAUGCGUAGAUAUAGGAAGGAACAUCAGUGGCGAAGGCGACUACCUGGACUGAUACUGACACUGAGGUGCGAAAGCGUGGGUAGCGAACAGG